UGCUACCAUGCAAGUCGAACGGAGAAUCAGCAAUGAUUCUUAGUGGCGAACGGGUGAGUAACGCGUAGACAACCUGCCUUCUAGAUGGGGACAACACUGCGAAAGUGGUGCUAAUACCGAAUGUUGCAUUAAGCCUGCAUGGGCUUGAUGCUAAAGGUGGCCUCUAUUUAUAAGCUAUCACUAGAAGAUGGGUCUGCGUCUGAUUAGCUAGUUGGUGAGGUAAUGGCUCACCAAGGCGAUGAUCAGUAGCCGGUCUGAGAGGAUGAACGGCCACACUGGGACUGAGACACGGCCCAGACUCCUACGGGAGGCAGCAGUGGGGAAUCUUCCGCAAUGGACGAAAGUCUGACGGAGCAACGCCGCGUGAGUGAAGAAGGUUUUCGGAUCGUAAAGCUCUGUCUUUGAGGACGAAUGUGUCUAAUGUGAAUAAUGUUAGAUAAUGACGGUACUCGAGGAGGAAGCCACGGCUAACUACGUGCCAGCAGCCGCGGUAAUACGUAGGUGGCAAGCGUUGUCCGGAAUUAUUGGGCGUAAAGCGCGCGCAGGCGGGAUAUUAAGUCUGUUUUAAAAGUUCGGGGCUCAACCCCGUGAUGGAAUGGAAACUAAUAUUCUUGAGUGCAGGAGAGGAAAGUGGAAUUCCCAGUGUAGCGGUGAAUGCGUAGAUAUUG
rnacentral:rRNA from 1 species